rnacentral:lncRNA from 1 species
UCAACAGAUCUCUCAAGCGGGAGAAUAAAUUUGUUUUUCCUUUUAUAUGAAGACAAUGGCUGCCUUGAGCUGGCCUUAUACCCCAAAAGGUUGUACAUAUGCAUAAAAGAACCACAGAAGAUUCAACCAAUUUCAUGUUCCACAUUUGCUUUUCACCGUUGCAUGUCAAAUAUUCAUCAAAUCCAUCUUCUACAGAAUAAAUCACACGAUUUAACAAGCACAACAGACCCUCUGUCUCUCAAAUCAUAAUCUCGAUUUAACCCUGUGCAACUCGUAACUACCUGGAUGUAUGCUCAAUCACGCGAAAGUAGAAAAGCACAUUGCAGUUAACCCUGAAUGGUUUGGAGCUGUAUGGCACUACGACUUGAUAAAGAUCAAAAAUGUGAAUUUUCCGUUGGAAAUAGACCAGUACAACCACGCAAGUAAGUAGUUACAUAUUGCUUGUAUCCUACUGAGACCCUGAGACUGAUUCAAAAAAACUACAGGCAAAGUUCACAGAAGACAACAAUAAAACUAAUGAACAUCUCCACCAAAAUAUCUGAAUCUUCAAUUCUGUUCAUUUAAUACUGUAAGAACAGAGAACACCCAACCCCUUGAACCCGUUGUAUAUCCAGAUUAAUGGGGGUAAAACCGCAAUCAGUGCAACUUUGUUGUAGUAUCAAACUUGAUCGCCAGAUGUGGAUCCACGUCCACGCACAGGGCGCCGCACAGCACGCGCACGGGCGCGUUGUGGUGGCCUUCCACGACCUCGAUUUGGGGUUGGAGGUGUGACAGUUCGUCCAAGCUGUCCACGCUGUCUCAACUCAGCAUUCCGCCUAGCUUGUUCAAUUAUAUUUAUGGUGGUCGUGGAAGGAGAAACCUGCUUUGGCUCUUCUACUUCGGUGCUGGCACUAGUACUGGCUUGUUUUGAACCACCAACCUCUGUGGUUGUACUUGCAGAGGUACUCUCACCAGUUAUAGAGGCCUCACCAGUUAUAGAGGCAGCUUCAGCAGCGAGGUCGGUCUCUACUGCAGUUGGAUCGAUGCCAUCAUUUGACUUAUCAGAGGCUUCAGCUGUCUCUUCAGGUACAUCAACUUCAUUAUUAUUCUCUUCAUUCAGAAUCUCUGGAGAAUUCACCUCACUAAUAUCCAAUGAAGCACCAGCAAGAUCUUCAUCAUCGACCCUAGAAGGUGAAGCUCUGGGUGUCGUAACAGGCUCAGGUUGACCUUCCUCUAUACCAGGACUGCCGAUCGUUGUAUCACCACCACCUUCAAGGUCUGAUACAUCAGGCAGAAGCUCUCCCUCUUCUCUGUCACCUUCAACUUCAAAGGACUGACGGUUGUCGGGCUCCAUCUGAUUGUCCUUUGCUCCCUCUUCGGGCACCAUCUCUUUAAUGUCUGAUCCAUCCACAUUUUCUUCCAUAAUGAUACUAUUGUCAAGUUGUGAUUCAGGUUGACUUGAACCAUCAAAUUGUUGUUCAAUCGGCUCUUCAACCUUCAUCACAGUAUUCUCAACCUCUUCCUUCUCAGCAUCAACAGCACCUUCCUCGUUUGAACCUUGAGGAAAAUCAGCAUUUAAAGCUUCUUCUGUGGCUGGAACAUUGGCAAGAUUUUCCAAUGGAGCGGGUGCUAGCCCUUCACUCCUUGGUGGAGAAUCUGAACCUUUGGGCUUUUUUGAGACGGGUGCUGCCGCAUCAGGACCAGUAUCCCCUUGGUUCAUUGAGUCCUCUUGAGAUUCAAACUGAGAAGAAGAAGCUUGACGUUUUCGAAACAGUGGUUGUGCCGAAGUAGCAACACCCUGAACUUCAGUGUCAGUGGAUGCUGCAUGUUUGUUCGAAGUCUGGGUCCCUUCCGUCUCUGACAUCUCUACAUCACCUUGGGGUUCUUCAGAUCUUACAAGACCACGGGGCCUAACCAAUUUCCUUCCUGGUUUACGAGGUUCAAUGUUUCUUUUGGGAAAAGUGAACCUCCUCUCAGUUUCAUCUGUUGCUUUGGAUGGCAAAACUGCAGUAGUAGUCACUGGGGAUGCAUGGGUGGCUGCUUGAGCAGGAGCUGCAUAAUGCACAUAGCAAUGAAAUAACUAUGAUUAAGAACAGCAAGGAAAAGUAACUGGCAUAGAAAAAAAAAAAAAUAGGGGGAAAGAGAGCGGAAUAAGUAAUGAUCAUGAAUCUUUAGUGAGGAAACUACCAGAAGUAGCAGCUAACAAAGCAUCUGCAACUGGAGUGUCUGCGGGGGCACCACCAGCUCCAAGCUCAUUCAAAGUUGAAUGUGCUACCCUUUCAUAAUUUUCACAGGCCAAGAAGUAAGCAGAAGCUCGAUCAUCCAGUGUGGCUCCAGAAAGAUGUUGAACAACUGAGGUACCCUGGAGAUAAGUAGAAACAGGAAGAUAACGAAUUAAGAAAUAAAUUAACUUGAGAAGAAGACAAGGUACUCCAUAUAGAUUUUCCACAACACGAAGCUGAGAGGAAUAUAUGUGUCAUCUGGUAUUCAGAUAUACACUGUCUAUAGACAUCAUGUCCACUACUUAUAUUCAUUAUUCUCUCCCUUAAUUCCCAGCUUGGAAGACCAGUUAUGAGAUAAUAUUAUAUUCUUCACUGCUGGUGGGAGGGUCAGCUGACUAAAGGAAAGAAAAACAAGUUGGAUAUAUAAACCUGUACCUCAGGAAGACCAUCUUUUGCAUGCUUCAGCUUUUCCUGUUCAUCUGAAAGCUGCCUGACAGCCAGCUUAUGCUUCUCCAGCUCAUUCUUGAACAUUACUUUAUCCUGAUGUAAGCAAAAAUAUUACAUUCAUCAGUUCACAUGAAAAGUUCAUCAACUUUGGAUCAGACAACCACAGAUACAUCAUAUGUGAAGAAGUAACUGUUAGGCCAAAUGGUUAAGUUUAUACGCGUGAAACACAAAAACACCUGCUCAAUUUUAUUAAGAGAUUCCAAAACAGCAUUCUCAGUCUUCCUGCGGUUUGCUUUCUCAUUACGUAGGAGGUCCUCUUUCUGCCUCUCCAUUGCCUCUUUCAUUGCCUCUUUCUGCCUCUCCAUCAUCUUUUGCAGAGUCUGGGUAAGCAAGGUAGAGGAGUCAAAUGGCCAGAAAGUUGAGAAGGAAAUACAUAAAUAUAAACAGGACUGUCAAAUUCAACCUGAAUUUUUUGGUCUUUCUCUUCUUUUAGGGCAUGCUCCCCUGCAGGAUCACUUGAAAAUCGUUUUGCUAAUACAAACAGAAGAAAUUAGAUAUUAGGUCAUCACGAUUGUAAAAAUGAGAAAUGAUUGGAGAACAGUACAUUAAGGUUGUCUUUCCCUUCACUACCUUGUUUUUCUUCCAACUGCCUAACAAGGUCAUCCCUCUGCUUUUGAAGGUCGUCGCAUUGCCUGUGAAGGUCAUCCUUUUGCUUUUGAAGAUCCUCCUUUUGUCGUUGAAGAUCCUCCUUUUCCCUUAAGCAUGUCUCAUACUUCCUCUGUUAAAAAGGAUGGCAAUACCAAAUUCAGCAAAGAACAAUAAAUUUAGUUUAAAAGCAUGCUCUACAUGCCAAACUGUAGAGAUGAAAGAUACUAAUACUUUUACUUUUCUGCAAAACUUAAUUGAAAGACGACCUAUGAGAACUGUAAGAACCUUAAACUGAAGGCCAAUCCUCCUUUGCCUCUCCACAUCUGAUUUUAAACUUGCCUGUACAGAGCAUCAGAAGAAUAUACAUCAUCCAAGGCAUGGAAUGUCAUCGACAUCUGAUAUUGAAGUAAGAAAUUUGAGUUUACCUCUGCUUGCAACAUGUCAUUUAUCCUCCUAUCCCUCUCAGUCAGUUCCGAUCUGACGUUUGCAAGAUCUUUUUCUAAAGACGAAACAAUCUCCAGCUUCUCUGAAAGAAGUUUCUUGACUUCUUCUAUAUGGGAAUCCUUCUCCUUCAAUGUUACCUAGCAGACAUCAUAAAAAUAAAAAUUAAAAUUAAAAGAGGAUAAACAUGUAUACAAAUAAUAAAAAUGAUGGCCAAAUUGUAUUUAUAUCAUAAAACUAUUGAGAGAAUGGAAUUGAAAUCAAGUCAAGACACAAGAUAACCUAUACCUGUCGCCCCUUUUGGAAAAUAAAUAAUUACAACAAAAGAACCAGAAGAAAAGAAAAGAAAAGAAAAGAAAAGAAAACUUGUUCCCUGGCAUUCACAGAUGUCGACAGGUUUUACAUUAUCACAUAUUUUGGAACUGUUUAUUUUAAUAAAGAAACAAACACCUUUUGGACCAGCAGUAGACAGAAACACAGAUGAAAGCAAAGAACAAUAUCACUUCACACAAACAAUCCACAAUCAGAUGCUAGCAAAAACUGAACUCACACAGCACAACCAUUUUUGGAUUAUUACUGGACAUUUGUUGUGGAGUAGGCAAAAAAAUAGUAGCUUAGCAGUACUUCUUAGUUACCGUCAAAACUGAAGAAAAUUAAUAAUGGCCAGCUGAGAACUAGGAAGGUUGAAAGGCAUUAUUUUUGAGAUGAUGUUAUGCAUGCAAGUCUUAACAGCGAAAAGUACCUGCAUCUGCUGAUGUUCAGCCUUGGUGCGAUCAUAAUCUUCAACAUCUAUGUUUCUAUACCUUUCAAGUAACUUCAAGAAAGAAAAUACAUCAAAAUAUGGAAAUUUAUGUUUAGCACGUGCAUGUACACAGAUGAAAAAUCCAAUAAAAAGAGAAAUAAAAAAAAAAAUGACAGGCCCUACAAUUCAAUUGGAAUCAAGGUCAACAUAAGGGUCUCUACCAGGCCUAGACACAAUUGGUCAUUACCAGACAUAUAUCGUGGCAUGAUGUAAAUAGUCAUCUUAGCAGAAAUAUACUGUUCAUAUUUGGCUCCGAUGACAUGGUGUACAUUGCUUUUCUUGAAACAUAAUUUUAUUUAUACUAGCUUAACUGGACUGAUAACACACUGGAUUUAGAUGCAUUGUUUUUGGAAUUAGCUGAAAGCCUAGAAAAUGGAACAAGUCUGGAUGUAACAAUGUCACAGCGCUCUAUAUGUAAAACAUUUUCUGGGUUCUGACAAUUCUGCACUAGAUUAAGUUAAUAUAGUAAUGCAACUUAGCAUAUAUAUACAGAAAGGAUGUAGAGCGGACGUCCGCACUCGGCUUAAAGUGCGGACGUCCGUCCGUUCUCCAUCCUCCGGCGACGGCGCGCCUCCACCCCAGAAGACUCCGGCAGCCGUCCCCGACCACUUUCCCUCCCCGGCGAGUCCAUUCUUUUCCGGCGAGAUCACCCAAAACUUCAAACAAAGUCGAUCUCGCCGGAAACUGGAAAAAAGGGACUCGCCGGAGUGGAGGCGCGCCGUCGCCGGAGGGUGGAGAACGGACGGAGGUCCGCACUUUAAGCCGAGUGCGGACGUCCGCUUCUCAUCCUCUCUCUAUAUAUAAACAGGCCCGCUAUAUAUAUAUAUAUAUAUAUUUUGGAUGUUUAAUUGUUGACACAAAGGGUUUUAGUAUAACAUCAAAUAGGCCUAUCAUAUUAACUGGUCGAUGUCCCAUUAUGGGCUGGACCAUACCUACUUAUGUAUGGGAUAUACUUGACCGCUCACUCACAUGCUGUAUUGCUGCUUACAGUCUGAGUCGGCCGAAUCGUAUUUUAACAACCUUACGCAAUAAAUUCAACAGAAAAACCUAAUGAACCAUAAGCAAACUCGUCCCAUCCCAACCCUAAGUUUCACUAAUAAUGCAGCAUCGGUGAAAAGGAGGAAAAUGAAAACAGUUGUUGAUAGCUAUUCCCCAAUUACCCAAUAAGCAGCAAUAGCUGGUAUAAAGGUGAGCAGCAAGUCUCAUCCUUUUAUGCAAUCAAAAGAUGAACAUGGAAAAGGUACCGAAGAGAGAGCUAUCCAAGAUCAAUACCUCAUUAAGCCUCUUUUCCAAGUGAUCUUUCUCCAUCUUUUGCAUUUCAAUGUCUUUUUUACAUGCCUCCACCUCAAUCUGUCUAUCCCUUAACAGCCUCUCUAGGUUGUGACGCUCAACACUAGCCUUUUGUGAUAUUUCAUGCAAUUUCUAUAAUGAAAAUAAGAUUUAAUAUUGAGAAAGAAUCAUCUGUGAGCAAUAUCCAUAUAGAAAACCGCCAUAAAGACUUCAAUACCUGGCAUUCCUCAAAAUUGUGUUUAUUUUCUUCUCUGAGUUGGAUAUUACUUUCCCGGAGCAAGUUUAUUUCCCUAACCUGAAAAAGCAUUUUCACCAGGACAGCACUUACAGGGCAUGUAGAAGGCAAUGACAUAAAUUAGAUAUUAAGGUCCACUGAAGUGUCCAAUAAACUUCAGACCCAAAAGAAGAUGUCAAAUAAACAUUAACUAACCUGUAGUUGUAAGGAUUUUAGUUCCUCCUCUGAGAACAACAUUGACCUUGAACUUGCACGCUCGGCACGAAGUGAUGCUUGGGCUGUUUCUGAAGCCUUGAGGGCACUCUCAAGCUGGAAAGCAAUUGUAGAAUGCAACCAUUAUAAAAGCCAUAUGGAAAGAUAGUCAACGACCAUGUUUUAGAAUAUGGCCACCAGGACUAUGAGAGAUAUAUCGAAAUAGACUAUAUUAAUAGAUAUAUAUGUAAAGGAUGAAACCUAAAUUUACACAAGCUGUGUACUCAUGGAUAAACUCCUACUGUUCAAAGAAUAGCAUAGUGUUUUCUUAUAACCUGUAACUUAACAUUGUGCUUUCUUAUAACCAGCCAAAAACAUGAGCAGAACACCCACUGGCAUGUUAUUAGAAUCAAGCGGGAAAUUCAAUAAUAAAUUAGAAGACAACAAAUUAGAACAAAGGGAUAAAGUGUAAAACCAAUGACCACUAGGUGCCAACAGGUAAAGUAAAAAGAAAAUACAACAAAUACAUCAGUUGAUACAACCAUAAGUUAAAACUUGUCAGGAAUUCGUUUUACUUGAUCUUUUUGGGAGGCAUAAUAUAUAGCAAAAAAUAAAGGAGCUUUCACAUAUGAACUGUUUUGGACGUAACUCCACAGGGACAUGUGGAUCAUUGUGUUAUUCAAAUAUUUAUUAAUAAGGAAUAAUUGAUAAAGGUUUUGUUUGAUUCCUUACUUUAUUUGUUUUCAACAUUGUGAUUUCAGUUACUCUAUGCAUGUAGAACUUUUGAGCUCAUGAUCAUCACUGACAGAACUUGGUCUAUGAAGAUUUGCAGUCACUGGUUGUUGGAUUACACAUUGAUGGUAAAUCAUAAAUGAAUUUGUGAUAAAGUAGAGCAUAAGUGAGAAAGAGAAUAAAAAAAACUUACUUGUGAUUGCAAUCGUAGUUUUUCUUGUUUCAAUAAGGAUAUCUCUGUCUCUGCCUGUUAAGUUGAAACAUAAGAAUGUCAGACAACGCUGUAUAUAUGCCUACAUGUCUGAGUAGUGAGUCCAGUGUGUGUUUAUGUGACAAUGAAAGAGUGAUAAAAGCAGGGAAAGAGAACUUACGAUCUCUUUUGUACGUCGAAGAUAGCUUAUCACAGUUUGUAAACCAGCAUCACCGGAAGUAUCUGCUCCAGUGCUUGUUCCAAAUGAACCACGAUCUCUCUCGGCCAAUUGAAUGUGCACAGCCUCCAGCUGACUGUGCAGUACUUUAUUCUGCAAACAAAGAUGAGCUUGAAAUUUUAGAACAAUAAGAAUUAUAGCCAAAAUCUAAGGUACACGAGGCAAAUCCAAAAUAAAGUACAGUCACAAAGGUCAUAUGUACCCAUACAAUGACAUGAUCUGGCUUCCAUGGAAGUACCAUAGAAACUAAUAAGUUCUGACAUAUAGAUCAUUAACAGAAAAGAAAUAGAAAGGCUACAAAUCACCUGUUCAUUGAUUUCGUUGUACUUCUUCUCAGCAAUACUAGCGGAUUCCUCUAACAUUGCCUUAUCAACUUCCCACUUGGACUUCAGUUCAUCCUGUAAAGUUCAGAACAGGUAAGAAGUCUGGGUACAAAUAAUAUAUUAUGAGAUACCCACCAAAAAAAAUCAGCUUUGUAAUAGUAUACAAGAUUUACUACAAACCACAAGCCACAUGAGAAGAGUAAAGUACAUUUUCACUUUUGAUUGCAUCAUUCAAUUUACGCAACUCUGAUGCUUCCUGCUGGAGCACAGCCAAAGCUUGUGAUGUUUUAGUCAACUCCUGUAUUGUCUCCGACUGGAGAAUGACCUGCGAAAUUGAGAAUGAUAUAUUAGCCAAAAAUUAAUUUGAUAUAUAACUAUAUAAGAGUGGCCGCAUAUGCUAAAGUAAGAAUCUUAAGUUUCCACCAGCUAUUGAAAUGAGGGAAGACACUGUUUAACCUCGAUAUUCACAACAAUAUACAGUUGGAAAAGAAAAAAAAAAUACUGGAAAGCCCAGUAUCAAACUCCAUACUGAAGUCUUAAAAGAACUUGUUGCCUAGAGAACCCAAAGCUGGAUAGGACAGACUAGGUGAACCAUUCAACAUCGUACAGCUAUCUUCGGUAUUGAAAAUACCAAAAUCUUAAAGAACUUGUUGCCAAGAGAACCCAAAGCUGGAUAGGACAGACCCAUGUUUCACAAGGUGAACCAUUCACUAUCCUGCAGCUUGGAUUUGGUAUUGAAAACCAAUUUUUGAUUCAAACUCUCUCAAACCACUAAAUGCAGAUUAUGAAAGAAAAUAGAUGUACAUCUACAUGCCAAUAACCUGUCUUUCAUAAUUAGCCUGUGCAGUGCGCCAUCGCUGAUGUUCUUUCUCCAAGUCUUCCUUCAAAGCAGAAACCUGAAUCUCCAGGGCGGCAGUUUGAGAACUACAAAAGAAAGGAAAAAGAACUGUAGGUGAGACAACAAACUGAAAAAUUGAAUGCGUAACAACAAGAAAUAUAAGAAACCUACGUUUUUGCUAAGGUUUCUUCCUUUAGGCUUGAAAUUUCUGCUAAAGCAGAGGAGAGAGCUUCUUCCUUCCCUGCGGCAGCAGAAGCCACUUCUUGAGACUUCAAUGUAAGCUCAUUUUCAAGUUCAGAGACCCUCUCUCUCAAAGAGAGUAGUUCGGCAUCUAGAGACUUCAUCAGUUUUUCAGCCUGCAAUGUUUCAGAUCAUAAGGCAACGUAACCAAACUGAACUGGACUGAUUAGUCACUAAAAUGUAAAGCAAGGCGGCAGUACCUCAAGCUUGAAGUUAUCAUGUGCAAAUUCCAUCUGUUUCAACGCAUCCUCGUUUACCUGAGCUAUACUCUUAUACUGCAUAUAAAAAGGACAUUAAUCUCAUGUUCAGUAAGUGUUAAGAUAUCAACCAAGGCAAGCAAAAGUUGAACCUGUAACAUGUGAUCUUUAUUAGCCUGCAUUUCAUCUUUCAAAUUCUUGAUCUCAUCCUUUGCAGCACGCAAUGCCACCAUAGCCUACAAGUCAACAUCAGACAUCAAUCACAUAAUACUUCACUGCAAAUAAAAUAUUAGCUCCAAAAUAAUUAAGCCAAUAAAAUAUAAUAAAAAANNNNNNNNNNNNNNNNNNNNUGAAGUAGACUGACACAAACGCAAAAAGUAAAGAAAAAACUUGUGUCAGUCACCCUUGUUCUCGUUUUAUGGAUAAUAACUCUUGUUGCUUUUGAAACACGGUCAAAAUUUGUUCUGUGAAUUUAAGAAAGAACCGACAAUUCGGGACAUGCCAAAAGCCCAAAAGUAAUAUCCAAGAGGUCGACAAAAAAUAAUAUACCAGAUUUUUAUAUCAAUGGAAAAUGGACAUGAUAGAUUUUAUUGAAGUUGUGGAAACAUCAGUCUUAAAAAAAUAAAGAAGAUACAAACCAAUAGCCAGCAAUACACUAUAACAGGUGGAAAAUCUAGUAACCUUAGUCACAAACCAAUAGCCAGGAGAAUUUUAACACAACAGAGCACCAGUCAACAAAUGAAAGGUACAUGAACAACACUGACCUCAUUGCCUGUCAAAGAAGAGGAUCCACUCGCACCAUCAAUCCCAACAACCUGCAUCAAUAGACAAAGACAUGAGGAAUUUAAUUAAACUUUCUUCAGGGCCACCGUUCAUAUCAGUUAACACAUUCUUGAACCCUAAUCAUCUUCAAAUUCACAACCAGAGAUUUAUCAUAUGUUACUCUAAAGAGAAUAUAGAAACUCAUCCCCUGCUUCUUCUUUUUGCAUAAAGUCCCUGAUUCUUUUUUUUCUUUUCUUUUUUGGAUACAUGGCGGCCAAACAACGAAACAACAGAAAAACUAAGUAGCAACAGCUACAUUCCUAACUUUAUCAGAAUCACACAAGUCAUUCAAAGGCUCAAAGCAACAAUGUCAAGUCCUGCUUUUUGUAUAAAGUGAAGGUUAUACGUUUACAAGUUUGUCAUUAUGGUUGCAGACGGUACCAAUCUGACUAGGAUUGUAUCAUUCUGCAUUAGACAAUAUCUUGUCCCCUUAAUCAAAAAACUGAGACUCAUAAUCCAGCCCAACAUAAAUACAACAUGGGGACCAAUAUCUAAAAUUACCUAUCCAAAUGACAUUACCAAAUUUCCACAUAGAACUAACAAAUGUGGUAUCCAGUUCAAGCCACUCCCGACAAAAGACCAGUUUCAGCAUGACAUUCAGGGAUGAUUCAACCCAACACUCAAGCAUGACCAGUUGACCACAAAAAAAUUUAAAAAAAAUUAGAGGAACUGCAACCAGUUUGAUUUUAGAAUUUUUAACAAAACUGCAUUCUAGAGUACUGCUAGAGCGUAAAAGGGUGACGAAACUCUUACAGCAUCAUAUCAAUUCGAAAAAUAUGUAAUACAACAAAAAUGAGUGUGUGCUAUAAUUCUUGAUCAAACAAUUUCACAUGUGGGCGGUGUUGGGACAUUGUUUGUAAGAAUCAAUACCUGGAUAUCUGAGGAUGAACUCUUUUUCUCCAGGUCAGACAGUCUGGCCUGUGUACAUCAACAAAAUAUAGUUAAUCAUGAGUACAUAAAUAAUUCAAUAUGGUUAUAAAGAAAAAAAAUAUUACAAAUAAGUAAUUGGUGAUAGUGUGGAUGAAUAUAAUAUAAUACAGAUAAAGCUUUCAAGGAAAAAAUUGAGAAAAAAAAAAGGACCUCAGCUACAGCAGCUCUACUCUCAGCAGAUGCAGCAGCAUGAAGUGCAUUAGACAAAUCUUUUCUCAUUUCUUCAACCUGCUUGAUGGCAUUUUUUAUGGUUUGAUCGCGGUCAAGUGCAAGAGUGAGGGCAUUAUUUUUCUCUUCUUGCAAUUCUCUUUUAGCAUCAGCCCACUCCCUCUGAAAAGGAAAUCAUAAUUUCACAUUGUUAAAACCCAAACAACAGUCCUCUGGAUUUCCACGGUUCCAUUUCAAAAAAAGAAUUAAUAACAUAAAGUCAAAACAACAAUAACACAAUUCGAAUGAUCAAGCAGGACACAUAUAAAACUUCUAGAUCAACACUAAGCACUAUGCACCUAAAGAAUACCAAAGAACUCGCACCUCUUUUUGUUCUGUAUACUCUUCUUGUUUUCUCCUCUCAGCUGCUCUUGCCUCCUGUAAGAAUGAGGAUAUCAAAUUAGAUACAGUGUGACACGUUAAGAAUGGACAUGCAAUUAUAACGCAGGUGAGAUAAGUACCUCGCGAACUUGCUGUGUGCUCUGAAUAGUGUCCAAACUAGCCUGCAAAAACUAAUGUCAGAAUAUAAAAAGCAAUAGUGAAAAGGAAAUUUGAUUGCGAAAAUCCCUACCUGCAGUCUAUAAACCCUCUCUGACAAACUACGAACUUCAUCCGAAGCUCUCUUCUCAGCAUGUUGCAGCAUUUCCUUUUCUUGCUUCAAAAGAGAUACCUGUAUUGAAACAGGAUAUACAGUGAGAUUAUAAAAAUUAUACUGAGCUUCUUAGAUUAGGUUGAUAAGUUUACCUCCAUAGUCAACUUCCUAGCAAGCUCCUCAGCAGUUUGCACAGACUCAGAACCUUCACGCAGCUUUCGCUGGUAGUCAACUAUUAGUUGCGAGAACUCAAUGUUCCUUGCUAAUACACCAUUUGUUUCGUUCCUCUGAUAUUUUAGGCAUUACAAAUAAAAAAGGGGAAGUUAAUAAAAAGAGAUUCAUUACUCAACCCACCCCAUUGAUAUGACAAAGCACAUACAGUAAUGGACAAAAUAUUCCAGCAAAAAUUAUCACCUGAAGCUCAAAUUCUUUCAUAAAGCUCUCAAGUUUUUCUCUAGCAAUAUUCGCUUCUGAAGCAAAUUUGUCACGCUCUGACCGCAAUGAUAUUAUCUCACACCUAACCAUAUAAUACCAGAAAUCGUCCAAUAAGCAACUAACAAUAAUACCAGAAAUCGUCAAUACACAACUAAUAAUAUGAAGUCGCAUGGCUUAAACAAGCAUUAGAUGUGCAGAGGUACUGGAGUGGAGAUAUCCAAAACAAAAAUUAAAAUAAGUAAUCAUAUUCAUCGAAUGACAUAUUGGAGAAUCUGAACCAAUGACAAUUAACAUAUCAUAAUGUUUACCUGGCCUUCGCUAGAUCUUGCUCCAGACAUUUCACUCGUUCUGCAGCAUGAUCUUGGGCCUUUCUGCUAGCUUCCUGCAAUAUUUCAUAAUUUGUAUUUACAGUCAACAAUAUCAAACAGAAAAGGGAGCUCAUUACUUAGAUAACGUCAAAGUAUACAUACCUGAGAACUCUCAAGUAGAUGCCUAACAUCACUUCGUCUUUCCUCUGCAAACAGGAAAGGUCAAGAAGUGAGCUACUUUCAGCAAUCACUUUAUUUGAAUUGGUGGCCCCACAUCUGACUCCCCCCCCCCCCCCCACGCCCCCCAAAGAAAAAAAAUACCCGUUACAGUUAGUUUAAACCCAUUUCUAUAAUUGAAAAGAUUUAGACACCUAAACCAACAUACUUCAAAAGUCCAUCCUGAUUAAAACUAUGUGUAAAGAGUAUAGUACUCCUUUGCUUUAGAUCUUGAAUCUGAAGACAUUGAAACACUUUUGUCAUAUGGUCCAAAAAUUAACCCAUAUGUGUGUGUGUAGAGAGAGAGAGAGAAAGACCUGGAGCAGCCUCUAUUAAAUGGGGACUAGACGAAUGAAGUUUAUGCUCCUCUUCAUACAACCUUUUGUACAUUGCGACCUGGGAAAAUGUCAGGAUUUAAAGAUAAGGAGCCAGAGCAGAGCAACUAUGUCCUCACCACACUUAAUCCACAAGGCAUAGGUGAAGAGAAAACAGCAAUGAUAUGAGCGGUUGCUCUUCAGAGAGAUUUAUUAGGGCUUACAGAGGUGUGAAGGGAUUCAAUCAUUUGCCCUUGCUCUUCAGCUCUUUGUAACACAGCCUCCACUCUAGAAGCAGCUUCAUCGCUAUGCUUCUUAAGCUCCAUUUCUAACUUUUCCUGGAAUUUCAAGACACGCAUCCAUCAAAUACUUUUCAAGUAAAAGAUAGUACUAAAGAACAAUGUCCAUAAUGAGUUCAUGGAGUCGUGGAAAUGUUCAAACAAACCUUAAACUCCUUUUCCCUAUUUUCAAGCUGGUCAGAAAGGUUGCGAACAAGACUCCUAAGCUGAGCAUUCUGCUGAACCAGACCAUUUAUGUCCUUGAAGGUCAACUGUUUGCAUUUUAACAUUCAAAAUAUCACUAUUAAAUAAUCAUCCAACAAUACAGGAAAGAAAAAGACAAGUUUAAUGACCCAUGCGGAAGAUAAAUAUGAAGCAAGCUUACAAGAUGUUCAGAUAUGACUUUCUCAGUAUCAGAUUCCGAGUGCACCACAAGAGCAUUGUCAUAAUCAUGACCCGAAGAUGCACCACGAAUCUGUAUAUCUCGACAUUCUUUCAAAAGGACUGUCACCUACAAGUUGUCACCCAGCAAGUCGAGAUUGAUUUAACAAUACAAUAGAAAGACUAGAUGUAUAAACCUAACAUUCAUAACAAACCAUUUAAAGCAUGAUUGCCUGGCCAAGGUGAACAUUACCCGACAAUGACUCGAAUAUAGGCAUACAAGCUAAGGUCUGGUUCAAUACAGACACAUGUAUACAUACAUAGAUAUACAUGUGACAAUUCUUAUGAGAUUCAAACAGAAAAUAGUUUCCAUCUUCAGCUGUAAGACUACAUCAUAUAAACCUAUUUUUCUGUUAAAAUUGAACAUAUUAACCCUUUUCUUUUAAAGAACAAUGCAACACUAUUCAUUAUAAGAAUGAUAUCCUCUAUUUCUCUAAAAAAACAAAACAUUGCAUCAUUAUGUGAGGCUAGGAGUCGGUCUUGACAAAUGAUAAACUAUCCAUACAAAUCGCUACUUGACAAUCUUCUCUUACCUCUCUCUGAAGAUCAGCAAUCUCUUUUUGAGCAAAGGAGUAGUCACGUUCAUGCCUCCUUAUGUCAGCCUGUGAACUAAUUGCAUAAGGAAUAUGAUAGACAAAAGCAAGUAUCGACAAGAUAAUUACCGUUCAGGUAAUCAAUCAAUUCCUAACUCAGAUGUAGCCAACUGCCCUUCAAAUAAAUCCAACAAUGUUGAAUAACUGCCUAAUUAUUCUCCACCCUUCAAUCUAAAUCCAGAAGCAGUUGUGCACAACUGAGUAACGAAUUAAUUGACUACCUGAAUAGAACUUUAUGGAAAUUAGUGACAUUAUUACAAACCUUCAACUCAGUUAUCAGUCUCUGCAAGUAUUCUUGUUCAGAAACCGAGUCCUGCAACUUCUGGUUGAUCAUAGAAUAUGCCUCAGCCAUUCUUUCAUGUUCCGCUGCAUAUGACUAUAUUAGUGAACAAAUAAUAUAUAUCACAAAACACAAGUUCAAUGUGACUGCAAUCUAUGACUUUUAUGAAAAAUAAAAGUUAACAGUUUAUUUUCCAAACAACCAAAAGAAAUACUUGCAACCACUUAAUAACAGCAGCCAACAUUGACCAGAAACAACCAUUCUUGCGCUAAAAUAUUCAUAUUAUAUCCAUAGUACAUAUUUUUCAAAGGACAUAUCACAUAUAUCUACUUUUCAGAAGAUAUAGAAAAGUGUUUGUUGUUUUAAAUCAAAAUGUAGUGUGCAUGUGUCCCUUCGGGGACAUCCGAUAAAAUUGUAUCCAAAAAAAAUGUUGUGUGCAUGUAUUAUUUUGUAUCAACACUUUUUGUCAAAAAAAGGAACAGCUUUUCAUUUUAAUAAACAAGAAUUAAAGAAAUAAAACAAGCUAAAUGGCAGGGAAUGGAAUCACUACAGACAAUCGCGUGACUAAGAUUCAAAGCAAAAAAAAAUGCUUAGUGAGACAUAAAAAACAAAUUAUGCCUUCCUAACCCAAUUUUCAGAUACUGUAUAGAGCCCCCAUCAAACAUCACAAGUCCUCAUCAUGUUUCUUUUGAUGAUUAAAACCUAAACUAGCCACACGAACACAUAUGAACUUGGUCAAAGUGCCUGCUGAUUAAGUAUCAAAACUCAACAACAGAGAAGAACAUAAAGGACAACAGAUUUCCAAUCCAAAAAUAAGAAAACCUUUUAAGUGCUCAUCAUGCAUUACAUUUCUGAAUUUGAAAGAAAAUAGAAUACAUGUCAUUGGUAUAAGGUAAAAGAUCAAAAUCAAGAACAUCAACAUGAAGCUUCCAAAAUAAGAAUAAACAACAUGCAAGAUUUAGUUGUAAAAAAAAAAACCUCUUUCUUCCAUAAUCACUUCUGCUUUCUCUUCUAUUUCGUAUAAAACCUGCAAAAUUAUAAUAAAAUCUAAGACUCCUGCCUUACAAUAUAUAUAUAUAUAUACACAUUUAUAUUCCAACAAUUUGAUGAUCAAGUGUUUCCGGUGUAACUCAACCUCAGCCCAAAAGUGCCAUUCAAGAAGUACUAAACAAUCUUUUUCUAACAUAAAACAGAAGUAACAAGUACAAAUGUCACAAGAUUUAAAAAUAUAUUUAAAAAAAGUUAUAUAUAUGAUUGAACAGAGAAGUACGAAAACAAGUACACAUGUCAUUAGAUUAUCGACCAAAAUUUAAAAUAAGUUGAAAUAAGAACAGACCCGUUGCAAGAUUGCCUCAGAUUCCUUCCUUCCCAACUGCUCAUGACGCAUGGCAUCCACUGCCUCUUGGUACUUCACAUACAUUUUUGCAAGCUAUUUAAAGAAGCAUAUACAAAAGAAAACGGAAGAAGGUAAUUAGAAUUAGCAACCAAGACUGAUGACAAAAUAUGACUCACACCAGUAGUAAAAUAGCUACUCACACUCCACCCAUCGCGCAGAAGCGAAGCUGCUAAUGCUGUUCCAGAAACACCAACAGGAAUCUUUGGCACAACCGCACCAUUAACCUCAGCCAUGUCAGCAGGUUCUAAUGAAUUCAACCACCUAUAUCAUAAAAUUCAGCUCAUAUUUUUAGAAUUAUAGAAAACAAAAUUUUGUCCAGCACAAAUAUGUAUAGAGAGUUACACACACUUUGAUUUGUUGAAUGCUAAAAGGGAAAUGAUAGUGAGGAAUAAACCUCAAGCUCAUCGACAUGAAACCAUAAAGCAAGCAUAUAAGAUGCAGUAAUACCAAAUAUUUCCCCAGCAUACACGCACAUACUUAACAUAUGUACUCAAACAAGAAACAAUAACAAACAAAUUAUUUUUCCCCUUUUUUUUUAGAGAAUAGUGUGACUACAUAACUCUUGAUGAUUGACCACAAUUAGAUAAGCAUCAACAGCUGAUAAUUUGUCAAACAAAUUACUACAUGUACCCAACAGAAUAAAGCAGAAGGCAAUAACAUUUGUUUAUAGAGUACAGGCAAUAAUGUAUAUGCAUAAUCAUCUCUUUCCAGGCCAUGGUCAUUAAUCUAUGUACCCAUUACUUAACCAUGAUAACUGAGCUAGUGAUUUUAACCACAAGUCCAGAAAAUCAAUCUCUUAGAGUUCAUGCAGCUAAAGGCUACAAAAUUUGUUUAUAAAGAAGUUCUUCAGGAAAAAGUAAUAUAUAUAUAUAGACGUUAUCAGGUGCGGACGUCCUCACCGUGCGGAUGUCCCUCCUUUCGCCACUUUCGCCACUGGNNNNNNNNNNNNNNNNNNNNNNNNNNNNNNNNNNNNNNUAUAUAUAUAUAUAUAUAUAUAUAGACACAGGGCCCUUCCUCUAAGGACCCCUUAUUAUGACUUAUACGAGGGAUUGAGCAUUAACCCAACUUUUUGAUCACAUAUCAACAUCUCCACCAUUCAACCUCUAGGUAUAUAUGAGUAGAUCAUUUUUGGAAAUUUUCAGCUAAAUUGGUGAUCUUUAAGGCUUCGAACUAGCUUAAAUCAAUGGAUGGUUCAAAUCUGCCAAUCCUGAACCGUUCAUGAAAAUUGCAGUUUUGAGCACCUUAACAAUCAUCAAUUUGGAUGAAAUUUUGCAGAAGUGAUCUACAUAUUAAGACCUAAAAACUGAAUGGUUAAGAUUGAAAAAUGUGAUCGAAAAGUUAGUCUAAUGCUCAAUCCCUCGUAUAAGUCAUAAUAAGGGAUCCCUUAGCGGAAGGGCCUUGUAUAUACAUAUAUAUAUGUAAUCAUAUCUUUUAAGACCAUGGCCAUUAAUAUAUAGACCCAUUACUUAACGCUAAUAAGUAAGCUAUUUAUCCGCAAGUCCAGGAAACCAAUAUCUUAGAAUUCAUGCAGUUUCAUGUAAAUACAGUAUUCAUUAUCUUGAAUCAGCAGAUGCUCAUUUAAUAUGAAAAUAAGAAACGCAAGUUUAUAUUAAUAAAGUUUCACCAAAUAGUGGAUAAAUAAUACAGAUAGCGAACCAUUCAACCGACAUGUAUUCUACAUUUACAAAAGAUAUGUAUGCAUUUCAACGGAAUGAAUUUAAACUCUUGAAGAAGUUCUCAGUGCUACACCAGAACAGGUAUAAACUUCAGCAAAUCAUUCAGAAAGUUCAGUGAUCAAUUUAUGCACACCACAGCAGUGGACAAAAAAGCCAUAAUGAACGCAUUUUUAAAUAUAAUAAAAGAGAAACAUACAUCUCCCUGCCAGAACUAUUAAGUGGGAGAAGACUCAGCUCAUUAGCUUUCCUGCUAGUUUCAAUUUCUGCUUCGCAUUUCUCAAGUUUUGUCUUCAGAUCUGCAGCCUCCUAUAAUCAUAUCACAGAAGCAACAAAAAAAAAACAUAGCAUGUCAUUAAAAUAAUUAGGUCUUACACCAAUGGGGAGAAGGAGAAAGAAACAAUUUCACCUAUUCAAAUUGAAAACAUAACGCAUCUACCUUUUCAAAUUGACUUCUUGCCGACACUUCCCUUUCAAGUCUCUCCUUGUAAUCAUUUUCAACUUGACUCAAAUGUGUCUGCAUGACAGCACAUAUACAACAAUUACAACAGAUACCCAAUAUAAAUAAUAAAGAAUGAAAAUUAUAACUAUGGUAGAGUAAAUUCUCACCUCCAGAGCUUUGAUCACACCCUCAAGCUCUCCCGCCUUUUUAGACCAUUCCUCUGAACUUUCCUUAUAUAGUUCAACAAGCUUAUUCAUCUGUAAAUUAGCAAAACUUCAUAUUACAUAUAUGAGAAAAAGCACUACAAAAAACAAAAUUUCAAACAACGAAUCUUCCACAAGCCUCUGAGAUAAUGUAUAGCAAUCCUAAUAUUAUUGUAAACAUCUCUAUAUCUAACAAAACACAAAAUUCCUUUCUGCAGUCAACUACGUGUUAUAUAGAGACUUUAAUAUGGAUGGACAUUUCAAGAAACUGACCGUCGAGAGUUCGGCAUUAGAUCUCUCUUCAUUAGCUAUGGCAUUAUCUUUCGAUGAGCGCAGUUCCUACAAGUUUUGUACAGGUAUGAAUGAGCCAGAAAGCAUCUGAUGAGCCAAUAAUAAUAAUAAUUAUAAUAAUCUUAAGAGUGCCAUACUGGAACGUAAGCAACCCACCUCCUGCAACGACGUCACCUUUGCUUCUAGUUCCCUCACUCUUUCCUUGUUCCAAUUUAAGGAGCUAGAACAGUCAUUGAAUUUCCGUUCAACCUGACAACGUUAAUACGGCUAAGAUCCCCAAGAAAAAUACGUAGAUAUAGAUAAACAUGCUUAUAUCAGAUAUGUAUAGGUUAUGUAUACCGUAAAAAAUGUAAAACGCACUUACAUCUGAAAGCUUAAAAGACAUCUCUGCCUCAAUAUCAGCAUUCGCUCUACGAAGCUUGAUGAGACUGUCAACUUUAGCUGCUAACUCAUCAUUAAGCCAGACAUUAUGCCUCUCGAUAAGUUCUUUCUCCUGCAUGUUAUUGGAUUUGACACAGUAAGAACACUGAUGCUCCAAGAGUCAUGUCUGUUUGAUUCAACAACUAGUCAUAGAACAAGCAAUUGCUACAGCUAUUUCAAGCAGCCACCUACAAACUAUUUGCCAGUAACUUUAGCAUAACAUUUAAUAUAUGUCCAGUGAUAAGGAAACCACAUGUUAUUUAGAACCACAAGGGUUCAGUAGGACUAAUCUUCCCUCUAUGAAAACCUUCUCUGCUAUGACCAUAAAAAUAGAGAUAAGGCAACAAAAGUCUCUGUUCAUCUCCAGAAGAUCGAGGUAAUUCUAUGUGUUUAAGAUUGCUGUUGACGAUUAAUACUUUAUUCUUAGCCUAUUAUAAAGACAUCAUUUAAAAUAAAAAAAAUGCUUAAAUCAGUGGCUCCGACAUGCCAUGGCAUGAAGACUGAACCAAAUACUUGAAAUGGAUGUUAUUGCUUUAUGGAAAGGUAGUGGCAUUAACUGACCUGUGAAAGAUGAGUACAUGAAUCCUUGGUGCGUGCUAACUCCGCCUCAGCUUCACUCAAUCGGGCCUCCCUCUGGGCAGCAUUCUCAGCUGACUUGACCUAGAAAAGAAGUGAAAAUGUCACUGACUAAUCGCAUAUACCUAUGGCUGCAUUGCCAAAAUUGAAAAGAAUACAACUGACUAAGCUUACAAUCUUCUCGAGAUAAGACUGGAUGGUGACAUUCUUUGCACUAAUAUCCUCAUCUUUUUGCUCCACUAUCUCGAUCAACUGCCUCUUUGAUUUAUGCAGCUCCGAAACCUCAGUCUUCAACAUCUCUAUCUCACUAUCUUUAUUAAUCUACACAAGCAACCAAUAACCGAAAUCGAAAUCAUUCUCAUGACAAUAGAAACGCAAAAUGCAAAGCAUUCGAUCACCGAAACCCUAAACCAGAAAAACCUCAACAAUCACACAAUUUUUAAUACAUAGCCAAUUGAGCGUACCGCUUGUAAAUUGAGCUGGUACUUCUGCGACUGCACUUCGGAGAGCUCGGUGAGGCGCUCGUCGAACGAGGACUUGAGCUGCGCGAGUUCGGACUCGAGCUUGGUGUAUUCAUCGGAGAGGGAGAGGUACUUCUGCUCGAGGAGAGAGCAGGUCUGCUCGGCGGUGAUCGAAGCGGCGUCGUUUUGCGCCUUGACGGUGUCGAGCUCGGUGCAGAGGUUCCGGAUGAACGCGUCGGCCUUCUCCGCCACCCAAGCGGCGUCGCCGCGGUGGCCGGAGAACUCCUCGUCGGAGACGAAGAGAGGCAUGGCGUGGGGGCGUAUAGGGAUACGCUAGGGUUUAAAGGGCCGUGCCCUAAUUUUGGAGGUGUCGGUCAGAUUUCGGAGGGUGAAUUUGAGAGAGGUGGCGAAAAUGGGAGAAGGGGAAAGAGAGAGAGGGAAUGGAAUUUGAAGGGAAGAGAGAGAGAGGUGUUGAGGGCAUAGGAUCGGCACUACCAGUGGUGUUUAUAUGCGGGCGGUUCAGGUUUAACCCGAAAUGGUUGUAUAUAUAUACAGAAACUAGCCCAUCUAUAAUCCAUUUUGGUUGAAGCCCAAUCUAUAUUGGGCUUUCCUUAUUGCGCCGAGCAGAAACUAACGACUCCAGUUUGCAAUUCUGUAUUGACCAAACCAUUUACCAAAAUUUCAUCUUCCGAGACUCAUCUAGUCGUCAUUUUCUCUCUGUUUUUGUUUAUGAAAAAUACAUAAAAUUAAAUAUGGGAGUCCUUUACGGCAUCCAUAAAUUACGAUGUCAAAUACAAGGGCUGAGAAGCCUCAUUAGGAAACCCUAUUUACCCGAAUAUUACCAUUAUACAAAUAGUGACCUAAAGUAUGUUAUUGCAUUAACUACAAAAUUUGCUCCCUACACACAUGUCUAAAAAAGAUAUACGAAAAUUGAUCCCUGAGACUUGAGUUAUCUGAUGUCUUCCACUGUUUGGAUAAGUCUCCAAGGAGGACCAAAGACUUCGUUAAGUGCAUCAAAAACUAGUUUGGAGUCUUUUUCCACUUCUAUCCCUUGUUUUUGGCAUAGACAAAGUUGUCAUGAAGUUCAAGAGCUUCUGCAACUGGAACUGAGGACUUUCCUAUCUUUAUUAAACUAGCUGCAAUCAGUUUGCUAAGGAAAUCAUGUAUUACAAAUCCCCCCGCUGUUGAGUCACCAACCAUCGAAUCGAACCAUCACAGUUUAUUUGAUACACCCCGAACCUAGUAAGUAAUUUUAUAUUGUGAUUUCCGGUUUAUUGGUAGCUAAUCAAUUCAGAAAUUUAUUAUGUUAUUCUUAAUAGAAGUGAUCUAGUCGAGUUUAUAGAAUUUUAGUUACCCGGAUAAGAGUUCGUAAAUGAUAGGUAGUUAAAUAAUAACAGUAUCCAUUUUUGGGCUUAGGCAUUUAAGGGAGACUUGCCAUUUAGGAAGGGAAAAAGUAAAAAUCAGAAAAAUACAACCCUCUCCACUUCUCUCUCUCCCCAAGCCGAGCCCGACCCCGACCCGUCCGGUUCACCUUGGCGGAUCGCCGCCGUCCGGCCACACCAGACCUCCGCGCCGGUCCCGUUCAGCAACUGGAACCCCGGUCGACCUUCCUAGGGUAUCAGCUGACCCCAUCUCGCCGGCGUUAGGGCGCCGGAGGCCCUAGAAGAACCUGCGUCACCGUUUCUUUUUCUUGCCGGAAUUCCUCCCUCCGGCCAUCAAUCGGGGAAUUUAAGUAAUCAUCUUGCUGUUGGAAUAUUUAUGAUAUCAAGCUAGCAUGUUGUUCCACCUUUCGAGGUGAUAUGGCUACCACGUUUUAAGUGGGGUCAUGCAAGCCCUUUCCAUCCUAGAGGUGAUGUGAUGUUGCCGGUGGCAUCACGCAAGCCCUGUGCCAUAUCCGUCAACUCGACGUGAAGGUACAGGGAGAAUAGAGUACUAUGCCUGGGAGGCAACCGAGUCUGGGAGACUCACUUAUAUGGCCAUAUAAGUUAAUUUAUUAAGUUGUUAAUUUGACUAGUGGGGUUAGUCCACUAUUUUAGAAAGUGUCGUAUGUGAGGAAAUUAAUUAUUUUUCUUAUUAAAUUAUGACUAGCGGGGCUAGCGUGAAUUUUGUUGAGCUCAUAAAAUUUGCAUGCAUGGAAAUUCUUAGAUUACGUGUAAGUGGAAAAGCAUAUAAAAAUUUGAUUUAGUAUCAUUAUGUUCUUAGAUACUUAUUUAUUUGUUUAUUUUUCGUCCACUCACGCUAACGUUUGUUUUUAAAUGCUUUUCCCUGGGCUUUUUGUUUUCAACUGCCCAGACUGCAGAGCUCCUGUUCGGUCUCCCUAGGAGUUUGGGCAUAGUUUUCCCGCUGCUCCUUGCUGAUCAUAGGUUACAUGUUAACCUAUGCGUAGUUGUUUUAUUUCCCUUCAUUAGUGCUCUGAGAACCAUGGGAUUAUGUAAAUUAAGUUUAAGUGUUUGCUUUAGGUCUAUGACUCAAAGCAGAGAGUUUAAGCUUGGGUGAUGUUCAUGUUAAUUAAUACAGUUUGAUAUUUGAUUUGGUUGUUUAAGUAUUGCUAUGACUUGGUUCUUGUUGUGGGGAGUGAAGGACUCCAGGAGUAGUGAUUGUUGAGUAUAGUUGAAGUGUUGUUGGUUCUUUUCUCGCAGGUUGGGUUGUCCAUUUUUAGGGGAGAUUAUGCCAAAAUUUCGGUAUAAUCUCUUUUAAGAGUGGACCCCGCAAGACUUGCCUGUUUUACUGUGUGUUUCUGGGGCGGGUCUUAUCAGUUGGUAUCAGAGCAUUAGGUUCCUCUUCCUAUUGAAAUAAUGGCGUCUAGUUCAAUACUAGAUUGUCCAUGUGUAUAUUACUAAUCUAUAUUUAUCUCAGAUACUAUGCCUCCUAGACGCCGAACACAGAGAGCUCCUCAUGUGGGGGAUGACAUGAGUGCACAAGAGGGUAUGCUGGGGGCAUUUGAGCAGAUUGUUAAUCAGUUUGCUGCAAUAAUGAAUCCUCAGCCCCCGCCUGACUUUAGCAUUAAGAAAACCAAGGAAAAUGGUGCUGAGAAGUUUUCUACAGCCAAGGAUCCCAUUGAGGCCCACGAGUGGAUUGAGACUAUGGAGAGAGUGUUUACUAGGAUGAGUGUUCCUGAAGAUCGUAAGGUAUUUGUGGCAGUGCAAUGGUUGCACGGUCCUGCAUGGCAUUGGUGGGUCGGUAUUACUAGAGAUUAUGGGGAUGCUCCUCACAUGACUUGGGAUGAGUUCAAGUUCCAUUUCAAUGAUCGUUACUGUAGUCGAGCCCAUCUCCAUAGGAUGCAGGAUCAGUUUAUGAAUUUGCAGAAAGGAGAUAUGUCAGUCUUGGAGUUUGAGCAGCAUUUCUUUGCUAGAGCUCAUCAUGUUCCUGACUUGGUAAGGGACGAGCAUGAUAAGAUAUAUAGGUUUGUUCGAGGACUUGGGGGUGAAUAUGAGGAAAAGAUGCAAGUAGUUUUGUAUCCGAGAUUUAGUGAUGCAGUUGGGGCAGCUUUAAAUAUUGAGACCUCACAGAUGGGUAGCCGACCCCGAGACUUUGGUGGCCCUAGUCAGGGGCCAUCAAAGAGAGCAGCAUCUACAUCCGGUUCCGGAUCUUCUGCGGGUAGUGGACGUAGUAGUAGCUCUGGUCAUUCAGCCCGACCUAGACUCAGAGAUAACCGGAGAUUUGCUGGGGGAUCUGCAGGCAGACGCCCCUUUAGUCAGUUUAGGGGUGGUAGUAGUAGUGGCGACCACAGUAGUCAGUCAAGUCAGUCUGGACAUUUUGUCCCCGUUUGGCUUAGGGGGUCGCGCUUACAUUUUAUCAGACUGCAGAUCAGACUUUAGUUGGCGCUUCUAGCAGUGGCUCACGUGCUAGUUCAGCAGCUAAAGGCGGUCCCCAGCAGGGUAGAGGUCAGAGAGGACGUCCUACCACUCAGGCUAGAGUUCAUGCCAUGACAUUUCAGGAGGGCCGUACCUCGCCUGAGGUUAUCAUUGGUACGUUGUUUAUUUUUGGCCAUCCUGCAUUUACUUUGAUUGAUCCUGGAGCUACCCAUUCCUUUAUGUCUAGUAGAUUUGCACUUCAUGCAAAUGUGAUUUCAUCUCCUCUCCCGGGGGAGUGGUAUGUGUCUUUGCCUUCGGGUGAUGUGCUUAAAAUUGAGUGGGUAUUUAGGUCUUGUGAAGUUCUAGUUGAGGGGUAUGAUUUGGAGGCAAAUUUAAUUCUGUUAGAGAUGGUUGAUUUUGAUGUGAUUUUGGGGAUGGAUUUCUUAGAGGCACAUCAGGCUUUGGUCGAUUGUUUCCAGAAAACAGUAGUGUUCUGAAGUCCGGGGAAGCCAGAGAUUACUUUUUGUGGAGAGCGAAAUGUUUUGCCAUCUUGCUUGAUUUCAGCAGUAACAACAGGAAAAUUGCUGAGUAUGGGUUGUCAGGCAUAUUUAGCCCAUGUUGUGGAUACUCGUAUGGGAGUGCUUAAGGUUGAAGACAUUCCUGUAGUUAAAGAGUUCCCUGAUGUUUUUCCUGAGGAGUUACCUGGUUUACCUCCUACAAGGGAGAUAGAGUUUACCAUCGAAUUACUUCUUGGUACAGCCCCUAUUUCUCAGGCACCCUACAGGAUGGCCCCUGCUGAAUUGAAGGAGUUGAAGGUCCAAUUGCAGGAGUUAGUGGACAAGGGUUUCAUAAGGCCUAGUAUGUCUCCUUGGGGUGCCCCAAUAUUGUUCGUAAGGAAGAAUGAUGGUAGUAUGAGACUGUGCGUUGAUUAUAGGAAGUUGAAUCAAGUUACUGUGAAAAAUAAGUAUCCUUUGCCUCGCAUAGAUGAUUUGUUUAAUCAGUUGAGGGGUGCUAAAGUCUUUUCCAAGAUUGACUUGAGGUCCGGGUAUCACCAGUUGCGGAUUAGAGACUCUGACAUAGCCAAGACUACCUUUCGGUCACGCUAUGGUCACUAUGAGUUUGUGGUGAUGCCGUUUGGGUUGACAAAUGCACCCGUUGCUUUCAUGGAUUUGAUGAACAAGGUGUUUCGCCCAUAUCUAGACCGUUUUGUCAUUGUGUUCAUUGAUGAUAUUCUGGUCUAUUCAAAGAGUGAGAAGUUACACUCUAAACAUUUGAGUCUGGUGCUUCAGACUUUGAGGUGUGCAGAGCUAUAUGCCAAGUUUAGUAAAUGCGAGUUUUGGCUUGAUAGUGUUGGAUUUUUGGGCCAUGUUAUUUUAGCUGAAGGUGUUAGUGUGGAUCCUCAAAAGGUGGAAGCGGUGACUAAUUGGUGUAGACCUAAUAGUGUAACGGAGAUUCGUAGUUUCUUGGGUCUAGCAAGCUAUUAUCGUCGUUUUGUACGAGAUUUCUCUAAGAUCGCCGCUCCACUUACAAGAUUGACGAGGAAAGGAGUUAAGUUUGAGUGGUCUGAGAAAUGUGAGCAGAGUUUUCAAGAACUCAAGAAUCGGUUAACUAGUGCUCCUGUUUUGGCUUUGCCUGAUGAUAGUGGAGAAUAUGUGAUAUAUUGUGAUGCAUCAAGAGUGGGUUUGGGUGGUGUGCUUAUGCAGCAUGAAAAUGUAAUUGCUUAUGCUUCUAGGCAACUUAAGCCGCAUGAGUUGAAUUAUCCAACCCAUGAUUUAGAGCUUGCCGCGGUGGUUUUUGCAUUGAAGUUGUGGAGACACUAUCUUUAUGGAGCUAAGUGUCAAAUCUUUACGGAUCACAAAAGUCUCCGAUAUAUUUUUACGCAAAAAGAAUUUAAUUUGAGGCAAAGGAGGUGGAUGGAGUUGAUUAAAGAUUAUGAUUGCACUGUUGAGUAACAUCCUAGAAGAGCGAAUGUGGUGGCAGAUGCUCUUAGUCGGAAGCCUACCUGUAGCUUAUCCUAUGUGAGGACAGUUCGACUUCCUCUUCUUUAUGAACUACGAGCUACAGGAGUUGAUUUGUCUGUGGAUAGAGUUGGUACUUUGGUUGCUAGUUUCCAUGUGAGACCGAUUCUGAUUGACAGAGUGCGAGAGGCACAAUAUCAGGACCCUUCCAUUGUCCGCUUGAUUGAAAGAACACGUGGUGGCACCACGGUGGGAUUCUCCAUUGGAAAAGAUGGGGUAUUAUUAUUUAAAAAUAGGCUUUGUGUGCCGAAAAGGAAUGAAGUGCUUAAGCAAGAGAUUUUGGAGGAAACUCAUAGUUCUCCUUAUGCAAUGCAUCCUGGUAGUACUAAGAUGUAUCGAACUUUGAGGGAAUUUUAUUGGAGGCCAAAUAUGAAGAGAGAGAUUGCGGCUUUUGUGAGUAGAUGCUUGGUUUGCCAGCAGGUGAAAGCUGAAAGGCAGAAACCAGCAAGGUUGCAACAACCACUGGAGAUUCCAGUGUGGAAAUGGGAUCAUAUCACUAUGGACUUUGUUUAUGGUCUACCUCGCUCUCGAGAUGGUCAUGAUGGUAUUUGGGUGAUUGUUGAUCGACUCACCAAAUCAGCACACUUCCUACCGGUUAAUAAAACCUAUAAAUUGGAGCAAUUGGCGGAAUUGUAUGUAAAUGAGAUUGUCAGACUUCAUGGGGUGCCAGAAUCUAUAGUAUCUGAUCGAGAUCCCCGUUUUGUGUCAAAGUUUUGGAAAGGGUUGCAGGCGGCUUUGGGGACUCGAUUAUGUUUUAGCACUGCCUUUCAUCCACAAACCGAUGGGCAAUCCGAGAGAACUAUUCAGACCUUAGAAGAUAUGUUGAGGUCUUGUGUGAUGCAAUUUAGAGGGAGUUGGGAUAAGAAAUUGGCUUUGAUGGAGUUUGCCUAUAAUAACAGUUUUCAUUCUAGUAUUUGUAUGACACCAUUUGAGGCCUUAUAUGGGAGGCAAUGUCGUACACCCUUAUGCUGGAAUGAAGUGGGAGAAAGAGAAUUUGCUACUCCAGAAAUUGUAUUCUAUACUAAUGAGAACAUCAAGGUAAUCAGAGAUAUACUCAAGGCAGCUCAGAGUAGGCAGAAGAGUUAUACAGAUAACCGUAGAAUGGACCUUGAAUUUCAGGUUGGUGAUUGGGUAUUCCUGAAGUUAUCCCCAUGGAAGGGUGUGAUUCGGUUUGGGAAACGUGGAAAACUUAGCCCAAGGUACAUCGGUCCUUAUGAAAUCACGGAGCGGGUUGGCCCAGUAGCUUAUCGUUUGAGAUUAUCUCCAGAGUUAUCCAGGAUCCAUGAUGUUUUCCAUGUGUCUAUGAUCCGUAAGUAUGUGGCCGAUCCUUCACAUGUCUUGCAAGAGCAACCUAUUAGUUUAAAGAAGGAUUUGACUUACGAAGAAGAACCGGUUUAGAUCUUAGAUCAAAAAGAGAAAGUGCUGAGAAAUAAGACGGUUCAACUUGUUAAAGUCCUUUGGAGAAGUCAUCAGGUUGAGGAGGCUACUUGGGAACCUGAGGAUCAGAUGAGACAUCAAUAUCCCCACCUCUUUUAUUGACAGGUAUGAAAAUUUCGAGGUCAAAAUUUUUAUAAGGAGGGGAGAAUUGAUACACCCCGAACCUAGUAAGUAAUUUUAUAUUGUGAUUUCCGGUUUAUUGGUAGCUAAUCAAUUCGGAAAUUUAUUAUGUUAUUCUUAAUAGAAGUGGUCUAGUCGAGUUCAUAGAAUUUUAGUUACCCGGAUAAGAGUUCGUAAAUGAUGGGUAGUUAAAUAAUAACAGCAUCCAUUUUUGGGCUUAGGCAUUUAAGGGAGACUUGCCAUUUAGGAAGGGAAAAAGUAAAAAUCAGAAAAAUACAACCCUCUCCACUUCUCUCUCUCCCUGAGCCGAGCCCGAGCCCGACCCGUCCGGUUCACCUUGGCGGACCGCCGCCGUCCGGCAACACCAGACCUCCGCGCCAGUCCCGUUCAGCAGCUGGGACCUCGGUCGACCUUCCUAGGGUAGCAGCUGACCCCAUCUCGCCGGCGUUAGGGCGCCGGAGGCCCUAGAAGAAGCUGCGUCACCGUUUCUUUUUCUUGCCGGAAUUCCUUCCUCCGGCCAUCAAUCGGGGAACUAAAGGUAGGGUUUUGAUGCCCUCUUGCUGGUUAUUCUUUCCCCUAAAGGUAGGAGAUCGAUUGGGUGUAGAUAGCAAAUCGAGGGUUUUGUGUUCUAGGGCUUGUGAAGUGUUUUCCGGCCAAACCCUUGAUUUGUGGGUUUUGUGUUAGUUAGAAUUGUUGUUAAGCUUGAUGAGAGGAAAAGUUUGGUGUAUGCUUUGAAAUUUUGCUCGGAAUUGUGGGAGAGAUGAUGGUUGACUGCCACUGCCGGCAGUUGACCGCCACUGCUGGUGGUUACUGUCGUUUAUGGUGGUGGUUGUGAAGAGUUUUGUUGGAUUUUUCUAGAAGGGUAUUAAGUUGUUAUAGUGUAGAAGGAUUUUUGGUGAUAGGUGCUUGGAAUUUGGGAUAGUUUUGGUUGUUCCAUGGUGGAGAAAGGAGUGUAUUGAAGUAUUAAGAAUUAUGGUAUAUGUUGAUAGGAAUUUAGAAAAAAAUUUUAAGUUGAUUUUGGUGGAAGAGUAGAGGGGAGCCUCAUCCUUGGGAAUUUCCAUAUUUGUGCUUAAGUGGUAGAACGUUGAGGAAAAAUUGGAGACGGUUAGUAAAAAUGGUUAGAGUUCUCCUUAGUUUUUGGAGAGUGUAGAGUGAGGGUAGAUGGCAUUGCCCUAUUUUGUUAAUUGGAUAUUCUUGUAUUAUUUUUGUCUCGGACCUUAAAUCUCGUUUUGUACAGGACGAGAGGAGACACCACGUGAGGAGGGCUCUGACCGACGUCAGGCUUAGCCGUCAAUAUUGUGAGUGGAUAUUUUAUUUUAUUUUCAAAAGGGAUAUGCAUGCAUGGUUUGUUUAAAAAUUAUUUCCCUCUAUGAAAUGAUCUUAAGAAAAUGAUUUGAGUUAUUUUCUUUACAGCAUGUUAACGUGUGAGACACGUUGAAUUUAAGUAAUCAUCUUGCUGUUGGAAUAUUUAUGAUAUCAAGCUAGCAUGUUGUUCCACCUUUCGAGGUGAUAUGGCUACCACGUUUCAAGUGGGGUCAUGCAAGCCCUUUCCACCCUAGUGGUGAUGUGAUGUUGCCGGUGGCAUCACGCAAGCCAUGUGCCAUAUCCGUCAACUCGACGUGAAGGUACAGGGAGUAUGGGAGUACUAUGCCUGGGAGGCAACCGAGUCUGGGAGACUCAUUUAUAUGGCCAUAUAAGUUAAUUUAUUAAGUUGUUAAUUUGACUAGUGGGGUUAGUCCACUAUUUUAGAAAGUGUCGUAUGUGAGGAAAUUAAUUAUUUUUCUUAUUAAAUUAUGACUAGCGGGGCUAGCGUGAAUUUUGUUGAGCUCAUAAAAUUUGCAUGCAUGGAAAUUCUUAGAUUACGUGUAAGUGGAAAAGCAUAUAAAAAUUUGAUUUAGUAUCAUUAUGUUCUUAGAUACUUAUUUAUUUGUUUAUUUUUCAUCCACUCACGCUAACGUUUGUUUUUAAAUGCUUUUCCCUGGGCUUUUUGUUUUCAACUGCCCAGACUGCAGAGCUCCUGUUCGGUCUCCCUAGGAGUUAGGGCAUAGUUUUCCCGCUGCUCCUUGCUGAUCAUAGGUUACAUGUUAACCUAUGCGUAGUUGUUUUAUUUCCCUUCAUUAGUGCUCUGAGAACCAUGGGAUUAUGUAAAUUAAGUUUAAGUGUUUGCUUUAGGUCUAUGACUCAAAGCAGAGAGUUUAAGCUUGGGUGAUAUUCAUGUUAAUUAAUACAGUUUGAUAUUUGAUUUGGUUGUUUAAGUAUUGCUAUGACUUAGUUCUUGUUGUGGGGAGUGAAGGACUCCAGGAGUGGUGAUUGUUGAGUAUAGUUGAAGUGUUGUUGGUUCUUUUCUCGCAGGUUGGGUUGUCCAUUUUUAGGGGAGAUUAUGUCAAAAUUUCGGUAUAAUCUCUUUUAAGAGUGGACCCCGCAAGACUUGCCUGUUUUACUGUGUGUUUCUGGGGCGGGUCUUGUCAUUAUUAAUGUUUUUGCUGCUUGCAAGAGAAUCAAAACCGCAGCUUUCUUUAAACUUGCUACCAACACGUACUUUUGGUUUUGUGGAAGCUAGUGAAGGAACUUUUGUCCAUGCAAGGAGUGAAUCUGAUGACUCCAACAAUGUCAAGAAGAAACGUGACUGACCUUUUGGGUUAAAAUACAAUGUUGCUAAAACAAAGAAUAAUGAGAAAGUUGGGAGCUUGUUGUUUGAAGGACCUUUUCUUAGCGCUAUAUAUUGUUAAGGGAAAAUAAAAGGUGUAUAUUUGUUAUUGCCUAUUAUUGUGCUAGUACAUAAGUCGUAGUAGAUAAAUAAACUCGCUUGAAUAAGCAAGCGAGAACAUGUUUAAUGGGUGGUUCAUCCUGAAAAUGGUAUAGAAUUGGUAUGUAAUAGCUAAUGUGACCAGAGGUUUAUCUUAAAUGAAAAGAAUUAGUCUAUUAAAAAUGUUUGAGACCAAACAAAUCUAUUAAUAACAUUGCACGCGGUAGCUGGCUUUUACAUGGCAAUCGGUAAGACUGUAACUAAAAAGCUUAUACCUACCUCUUCCCAUAGCUAUAGUUGUAAGUGUCAUAUUGUUGAUGAAUGCAAUCUGUUCAUGCAAGAACGCAAAAAAAAAAAAACAAAACAAAACAAAAUAAAAAGACAUUCACAUAAUCACAUAUCUUUGGUACAUCACCUACCACAUAAACUUAGGCAUGUUCUCGGAGCAAUGGCGAGAAAUAUCUUGGCAGAUGCCAUGCAUGAUUCCUACGCUGAGCUCGCUCGCUCCAUUUCUCAUAUUUAUACGCGGUGUAGCGGUAUCUUUCUCUCUCGGCCACAAUACAUAAUCUUAGAGACUUUUCUUCUUGCAUAUACACAUAGCCAAUUUCCUUGUUAUUUGCUUGCUUUUUCCGGGUUAACCUCUGGAUUAGCCCAAUUGCCAUCUUCAUUUUGCGUGUCAUCUUUUUUUGAGGAUUUGAUUAUAUACCCUUCUACGUACUGGGUUCCUACAUAGUUAUAAGUUUUUUUUUUUUCUUCUAAUUUUCCUGUCUUCAUUACUUGUUAUAGCCUUCUAGGGACUACAUCUAAAUAUAUACAAUAAUUGGCUGCUAAACGACAAGUAUAGUUCUGUAAGAUUUUUAUCUCAGCUAUUCCAAUAUAUAUAAGAUUUCCAAGUAUUACCCAAAUAGAAUUUCAAGUAUUAUAUAUAUAUAUAAACUGAUCAUAUUCAAAACGAGGCUCUGUUUUGAAAUUCUUAAUCGAUAAUGUAUAUGCUAAUUAUUGUAUCACUAGCUUGCUCCAUUAGAACUAUUAGGAUGGAACAUCAAGCGUAAGGACGAGUACCACACACUUAUACAUGUAGUCACACUACUCGAUUACUACAUAUAUUGUGAUUAAUGAUUAUGAUUCAACUCCAUAUGUAUUUUUCGUUUAUUUAUUUAUCUUUAUAUUAUUUUUUGAAAAGUAUAUAUAUUCUUCGUUUAGUUAGUUAACAGUUUAACACAAUGUUGGGAAAAAAAGAAAAAAACAUGGAAGUUGGGAAUUAACUCCAAGUUUCAAUGUUAGAUCAAAACUGACUAAAGACAUUUUUCAUCACUCUGGUAUCAUUUGUGCUCUACUUUGAACAGCAACUUUGUAACCAAAAAAAAAAACCCAAAACUCGUAGGGUUUGUUGAGAGAGAGUAAUCACGCGCCAUGAGGACACCAGAGAACAAAUAAAACAUAAAAAGCUCGCCAAGAGAGGAGUACAUGUAUGUAGGUCAUAGUCACUAUAAUUUCCAGGGAAUUUAACCCAUUCUGCAUGCAUUUCCUGGAUUGUUCCUCGAUCGUUUUUUUGGUUCAUAAAAAACGCGUACCAAAAACAAAGCCUUAAUUCCUGCGCUAUAAAAGCUCGGCAAAGCCUUCUCAAAGACUCUUCUUCUUGUUCAUCAUUUCUCUCUGUACGUUUCUCUCAAAUAUUACAUAUCUGAUCAAGCUAGCUAGGAUUUGAAACACCAAAAAUAGAUCUCAUUUAAUCACCUGAUUUAAACCAGGUAUAUAUAUUCAUUUAUGAUUUAUUCAUGCAUGUCAUAGUUCAUGAGUACGGAGUACCUCAUAUAUAUAUUUUCAUGUUCAUUUUGUAUUUUUCCAUAAUUGUUGAGACAAACUUUCUGGCAGCAGCAGUUAAGAUUAUAUGGUUGGAGAAAGAACUAAUUAAAUCUAAUAUUUGAUCAUAUUUAUUGUCGAUUGAAGUUGUUGUGCGCUUGUUCCUACCUUUUUUUUUUUUUUUUUUAUUGUUUUUUCCUUUUUCAUUUACCCUCUCAAGUGCAAGCAUCUCUUUUCUUACAUAUAGUUUUGUUACUUUGAUUCAGCAAAAUUGAUCUGAAUGGUGGGUUCCGGUGAACUCGACCUUGAAAAUCAACAAACAGUUCCCCCUGUAGCAAUUGAUCGCGGCAGCGGCUUGCUAAUUAGUUUCUGGCAUCGAAUUCGUUCAUUGUGUCAGUUUCCCACCAGACCUUCGGCUGAUGAUGAAAGUGAAGUAAGUUUUCGUGUUCCAAAAUUUGUUGAUUUUUUUUUUUAUAGCAGUUAAAAUUACUAUCCGUAUAUGUUUAGAUUAAGCCAUAUAUUGUAGUUUUUGAUGGCCAACAAUGAACGCCCUAGAUAUAUACUGACCGGAUUUAGGAUCCUGCAUGUACUGAAUCGUCAAUGUUCGCAAUCAAUUUAUGUUGAUCGGGGGCUGAUAAAUAGAUCGAUAUUACAAAUUUAUAUCAUACUUUUCACUUGAGUUUUGUAUGGUUUUUAUGUUAAAUAAUGUCGUCGAUCAUCAUUUCUCCACAACUUAUAUUACCAGUUUGAGAUAGCUAGCAAGUCACAAUUUCGAUGUAUAUAUACGUAUAUAUGGUGCGAGUCUUAACAACUAAAUUAAAUCUAGCUAGAGUGAUUCGUUAGAGUGCAUGCGUGAUCGAAGGAACACAAUUGAUAAGACCAGAGCUCAAAAACUAGCUAUAGCUAAACAUUUAAGCAUACUAUAUAUAUAAUGGAACGAAUAUUUAAGAGCGAAUAGAACGAAUCAUUGUUCAUACAUAUACUUCAUCAAAAAUCACAUAUACAUACAAGUACGUACUGAUACAACAAGAAGGAAGCAGCUGACGAAAAUAGGAAAUAUCUACGUACUGUAAGAAAAUCCUUCAAUUAAUACACCAAUAUUGACCUGUACUUACACAUAAACAUAUAGAGAUAAAUAAUUAAGUUUGUAUUUGUAUAUCAUAUCUAUAUCGUUACGGGAAGUGACACACACACACCCUAAAUUGUAAUCCACACACCCACUUUUUUUUUAGUGACUUAAAUUUUAUCUUUAGUGAUUUCAAUUUUGUCUUUAUAUGAUAAUGAUUACUAAAAAUUGAAAAUAAGUGUGUAGAUUACAAUUUAAGAUGUGUGGAUUGUAUAUCCAAUAGUUACAUGUUUUGUUAAUUUGGUCCCUGUUUUGUUUGGAUACUGGUGCGUAACAGGUACUUAGCAUUUUCUUUUGAUACAAGGUGGACCACUUUUUAGAGUAGCACAUUCAUAUCAUAACUUGUGUGGUUCCAUAUGUUAUAGAAAGUCUAAUCUAUCACAUAAUUUAGAUUAAUCUAUCACAUAAUUUAGAUAAAUAACGUGUAUAUGAAAAAAAAAAAAUAAAUAUAUAUAUAUAUAUAUAUAUAUAUAUAUAUGUUGUAUCUAUAAAUGUUCAACAUCAAGUUUUAUCACACAUCGAGCGGCGAUCGAUUUACACUUACACGCUUGCCUAGCUACAUUAAGUCUCAUAUGGAUGUAGAUGCAAUACAAACAUUGAUUAGCUAGGAAGAUAGAUUCGUCGAGGAAUGACUUGAGGACGAGAUGGAUGGCAUGCGGUAUAUAGUAGUAAAUAAUCCAAAUUUCAGGCCAAAAACAAAAUAGAAAUGAGAAGCUGAUUUUUGUAAUAAUUUUUUUUUUAAUCAAAAAGUCAUUCCAUUAAAUCAGAGUAAGCAGUAUAAAGACGAUGCACCCCUAAGGGUCAUCAGAAAGUAUCGUCUUACAGAAUUGCAAGUCCUACACUAGCUAAAGCAUACACUAUGAAAUCCUAAAUACACCCACCUUAUAGCGAUUAAGCACAAUUUUACAAGUAAACUAGGAUCCGCAGAGAACUAUCAAUACCCAACGAAUGCAAACUAGUUUACCUUGAUCAAACUAAAUUUAAACUAGGGGUCCAAGCCCAAUUGCAUCAUCCAAGGCCCAACAAAGGGAAACCCUAGCAACACCAACCCAAGCCCAUUCGAGCCCAAAUCUUGAAGGAGCCAAAAAAGAAACCCUAGCAUCCUCCACCCUUUUGCCACCGUCAUCACCACCCGAGGCCAACAACGCUGGCAUAGCCAUUUUCGGAAUCAGAGUCGCAUCACCGUCGCCGACUCCUUCCACAUCACCACUGCUCUCUCCAACAACACAAAGAGAAGGAAGAACAGGUGUACAAUCGCAAGGUAAACUCUGAAACUCACUGACCAAAAAAGCUCCCAGCCGCCACUGCCAAACAUGAUCCCGCAGAGCACACCGAUCCCCUUCAUCAUUCCCAAACCAUCCGGAUCUAAGAUCGGAUCAAAUUUUGAUUGACUCUUGUUCAUGGAAUGGUGUCGUGCAAGCCGGCCGUCAUCACCACCGAUUUGACGAGAAAGAGAGGGAAGAGAUCCCCUUUUCAAUCGAAAGUGCACAGUUGCCACCAGUGGAGAACCACCGCCGCUAAGUUUCCUCUCUUGCGAGAGGCCAGAGAGAGAGCGUCUUAAUUGAUAAUUGAGGUUGUUGCUAGCCGCACCCUUUUGAUUCGUUGUUAGUGUUUUAUUUGUAAUAUUUUUUUUUGUCAUAUAACAACUGUAAUUUAAACAUGAAAAAUUAUUGUAUCUUCUAGGACUACCACAUGUAACAUGGUUCGGCACUAGUAUUGGUCAACAUACACAAUUAAUACGUAGGGAUACAAAUUUGUCAACCAUCCUUAUUUGCCCACCUUUUUAAUUUAUUGACAUGUGUUCAUUUUAUUAUUAAGAAUAAAGUUAAAUCAUUUGAAGAGGAGUGCGGCUAUUGGGACCUCCUAAUUUGCUCAAUAUACCUCUUGUUCUCUUUACACCUCUAUUUUACUUUUAAAUACAAGUAUUUGCUCACUAGACCUCUUUUCAAAUUACUAAAAUAACCUUAUUUAUGUAAUUCACAUAUAUUUCCAUAUAUUACUCAUUACACCUCUUAUUCACUAACUAGACUUUUUUUUUCUUUUUUCUUUUUGCACGCGAACAUCGAUCUAUUCUCGACCUCUUAUUUUUUUUUCUUUUUUAAUAUAUUUUCACGCAAACCUCCAUUUCUUUUUUAUUUCUUUUUGCAUAAAAUGUCACUAGACCUUCAUUUUUUAAUCAAAUACUAAGAAAAAAAAUCAAUGACAUCAAUUCAGAGAAAAUUCAUUCGAAUCAUGAAGAGUAGUUUAUCUUAAAAGAAAAAAACAAGGUAUUGUGUCUCACAAUUAAUUUCUAUCAAUCAUCAAAAGAAUGUUCUUAUUUAAAUUUGUAUUUAAUAUUUAUAUAAUUUUUUAAUCAUUGAUAAUCAUACUUCCACAAAAUAUUUUUCACCUUGUACGUAUAUGCAUGCAACAUGUAUAAUAACAUAAAUUUUCUGCUACAUGAUCGUAAUAUAUUACUCAUAGUUUUAGUUCUUAUUAUAUAUAUAAAUGUUUUAAUAAGUAUGUAGUAAAAUUAAAAAAUCAAUAAGGAAAGUAAUAAAAUGCAAUCCAAUAUUAUUGAAUUGGAAAGUUUAAAGUGAACAAAUCUAAUAUUUGUUUUUGUUUAAUUAUUGUCCUUAAUAGUCAUUAUGUGCAAGAAUAUAUAUGUCAUUUAAUAAGUCACAAUACAGUGAGGUCAGGUGAGCAAAUUAAGAAGUCCCAAUAGCCGCACUCUUUGAAGAGACAUGUGUCAAUAGACUAAGAGAGUGAACACUUUAAUUUAGUGGGCAAAUAAAGGUGGUUGGUAAAUUUGUAUCCCGUUACGUAGUAGGCCUCACGUAAAUAACCCAAUUGUAUUGGUCCGAAUGACCACAUGCCACUACAAACGUGGUAGUUCAUGACCACAUAAUGAUCUUGAAUUUUCACAUUGGAACAUGUAGAGAGAGGGAGCGGUAAAAAGAAGAGAGAAAAAUAGACUCAUAUCGACGCUCCAAACUUCGAAGCUUGUUUAAUCAAAAUUUGUUAGCUAGAGAGAGUGAGUGUGUGACUAAAAGUAUUGCCGUGAUUUUUUUUAUAAAAAAAAAAAAAACUUUUGAUGAUGUGUUGUAUUUGAUGAAUAUUACCUUUUAAAAGUGUUGUUAAGACGUAAAAUUAUUAUUUUUUUAAUUAAAAACUGAUGCUAUUGAUCCGUAAUUAAAAAAAAUUGUUUAAAAUUUUGCUAACAUUAUGAAAUAUGAAAGUUCAUCUAAAAGAUUAUCCUUUAUAAAAAACGAAACAAUCCCAAACUGAGGCUUAGUCAAGAAUCAAAGUCUCACCUCAGAAGGUGAGCGCCCACUAGAUGGGCUAAAGAAUUUUCAGAGAGAAGCUACUAAUUACCACUUUUGACCAAGGUUGACUUGAUCAAACUCGACCCAAGUCUCUGUCUCACCCUCUCCCAUCCUUCACCAUCGUUGCUUCCUAGCCGGACAUAGUAAAUCGCAAUCACCGUUCAACCCACCUCGUACAACAACAACUGUCACCCGCCAAUAGCCACAUCCACAACCACAACCACAGUCUAGGAUCCUCCAAAUUCAUAACAGAAUAAAGCUCCCUUGUCGACCUGCAAACAUCAUCCAAUCCAAUCCGAUAGACGUGAUCAGACCUAGCCUACGUGACUCCGAGUUCCACCUGCCUUUGUUCCGCCCCUGUGAAACCCUAGGUAACCUCUAAUCUCCCCCACACAAACCCGGCUCAGACACUGCUUCAACCCGAAAGAAGGAAAACAUAACCUAACCAAUCUUUUGCUACAAACAAGGACUCACCUCCACCCACCUCUAUUAGAGGUCAUCGCUGGCGACAAGGUACAACCGGACAUGCACUCAAUCGAUAUCUGCCUUCUCUCGCUCUCUAGGAUUAGAGAGAGCGACGCUAUAUCUUUAUCGCCCUAUAUCUAUUAAUUUCCACUUAAUAACAAGCCAAAAGGGAUAAGAUUGUUGUUAAGCCCAAUUAUCUAUAAACUAAAAUUUGUUGGCUUGAUUAUGAGAACUGGCAUCUCAAGAAAUGGGUUUAUUUUGUUUUUCUGAGAAGGCUGUUUAUCCCGAAAUUUAGAUAUUUAGAUGAAAAGAAAAGGAGAAAAUACUUGUGAUAUCUUAUAUUUUGUACCUAAAAACAAUUUUGUCAUUCGGUUUUUAAAAUAAAUAGGUAUACCCCUAUAUUCUUAAUUCUCGACAAUUUUACAAUUUCCAUCAGUUAACUGUCAAAAGAGACCGUUAAGUUGUUGAAAUGGCUAAAAUGCCCCUAUUAAAAAUCAAUUUUAUUUUAUUUUAUUUCUCUUUCCUAAUUUUUCUAUUAAAAAUCGAUUUUAUAUUUUCUUUAAAAAAGCAAUUUUCUUUUUUCCUCUUAUUUUUUUUUCUAUUUCAUAAUUAUUACUUUUAUAUGUUAUAUCCUGAGGUGCAAGCGAUUGUUCACGAUAGUUGGUUUGUGUUGAAAGUUUCGCAAUUUGAGUGUCUAAGUAACAACCCGGCCUAAAGGGUUCGGAUUUGGGAAGUUCCUUCUGUGUUUUAGCUCCCUAAUAAAUUAAGUAAUUAGGAAACACUAGUGUUUCAAGGUAGUAUUACUUAAUUUGAGGAUAUACGCAGUUUUCAGUUGGAUCUAAUAGCUACAAAUCCCUACAAUUAAUAUCACUAGUAUAGAGGAACGUACAUGAUCAGUACCGGUACCCUAUAGUUUCAUGCCCAUAACUAAUGCAAGAUAUAUUGAUUCUAACGCUUAACAAAGUGUAGGUAAUUAAUUAAUUAUAUCGAUCUCUAUUCAUAUUCUUGUUUAAAUUAUUAAUGCUACUUGAUUUUAGCAGGAACAGGAACUUACAAAAACGUAUACUGCGCACCUUGCACGUGCACCUCACCUUUCUGAAGAAGUAUCAAGUUUGAGCGUGGAAGAUGAUUGUGCCAUCGCUAGUAGCGCUACUGUUUCUGACCAAGUGAAUCUAAAGAUUGAGGAUGAUAUUGCUAUCAAUGAGGCUAAGAUCCAGCAUGCAAAUAUAUCCAAGAUAGUAAGAGACAAGGACUUUGCUACCUUACAGAAGUUUGGAGGCAUCGAAGGAAUUGCAGAGGCACUCGGUACAGAUUUGCACAACGGAAUCCCAGGUGACGGACAAAAUCUUCAUGAUCAACACAGUGCAGUAGUCUCAACAACACAAGCUCCAACUCCAAGCUUCUUCAACCUUCUCCUACGAUCUUGCUUCAAUUGGACCUUUCUCCUUCUCCUGGUGUCUGUGAUCCUGUUAAUUGUGUUUGGUAUCCAACAAGAAGGCCCAAGUAGCGGUUGGCUUGAAGGAGCUGUUGGAGCGUUUGCGAUCAUCAUGUUUGUGGUUGUGUCUACAAUGCGCAAGUAUUUCUUCGUGCCACGUUCCAGGAUUACUGCUAGACAAAUGGAAGUUAAGGUUCGUAGAGGAGGAAACCUGCUUCAUGUUUUCCCAUCGGAUGUGGUGCCAGGUGACAUAGUAUGCUUGGAAUUGGGAUCUCUAGUUCCUGCUGAUGGUUUGUUCGUUUUCACUGGUGAAUCAUUACUGUUGGAAGAUGGUAUGGAUUUUCCAACCGUGGAUGAUAACAAUCCUUUUCUGGUUUAUGGUGCAAGGGUGAUAAAUGGUAAUGGUCGCAUGUUGGUUACUUGUGUGGGGAUGGGGACAACAUUAGGUGAGUUGAUGGGGCAAGUGAGAUGUGCUCCUAACCAGGACCAAUUACUAGCUCAAAUGGAUAAGUUGAGCACAAGGUUGCAGAAUGUUGGACACUUGAUCACAAUUUUGACGACUCUAGUGCUAUUCAUCCGUUCCCUGGUUUUGAAGGAUAAUGAGUACCCUGGCCUCCAAGCUGAUCAGCUCAAGGGUAAAAUAGUUGCAAGCGAGGAGCUAAUCCAUGUCAUUGGCAGAUUUUUCAUGAGAUCAUUUGGCGGCAUUAGUGUGGCGACGUAUCUGCCUUUGUUGAUUGUAGGAUUAUCGGAAGGAGUACCUUUUUCAGUUGCACUUGCCAUUACUUACUGGACUAAGGCCACACUGUUCGGGAAAGCCAUAGCUCAAAGAACCUUAGCUUGUUUCGCCAUGGGUUUUGUGUCAACUAUAUGCAUUGGUGGUGGGCUAACUUCAAACCCUGUACUUGAAGUCGACAUGAGCUAUGAUGGGAAGCAAAUCAUCGAUAUAGAGUCUGUUGCUGAAAUUCACAAACACGUUCGUGAGGCUUUAUACAAAGGAAUUGUCGCACCGCUUAUGAUGCCAUCAAGCCCUUGUAGCUCAACAGAACACCAACUCCUGCUUCCUUGGGCCAAAUCUAAUCUGGGUCUGGACAAUGAGAAUUUGUUGCAAAGUUGCACCAUUGAGAAGAGCGAGAAGUUGAGCAGCGAUGAGGAGGCCAGUAGAGUUCUGAUGAAGGACAGUGAAACUGUAGAUAUGUGCUUGUACUGGAGUGGACCUGAAACAACAAUAUUACCCAUGUGUUCAGAAUAUUAUGACAGCAAUGGAACAACAAAGCUCAUGGAUGAACAGAAGAAACGUGAUUUUAAAGAAAGUAUAAGUAACAUGCAGUCCAAACAUCUCAAGACCAUUGCAUUUGCACACAAGAAGAUCGAUGCUCUAAUGCCUGAAGAAGAAGACCAAAGCUUAAUAUUGAUAGCACUGCUGGGUGUGAAUAAGGGUUUCACUGAGACAAUGGAAGCACUGGAAGUUCUACGAAAAGCGGGGGUGGAUGUCAUAGAGUUCCCAAAAGAUACCGAAUCAGUACUGUCAGAAGGUGAAAGUCCAAUCUACGGAAUGGGGAGGCCUUCUGACAAGCUUCACACAGUGCAACGUUUGAAAGACAGGGGCCAUGUUGUGACAAUGGUUGGGACUAGAACAAAUGAGACUCCAGCUAUAAAAGAAGCAGAUGUGGGGAUUGCAAUGGGGACUUCCAUUAGUGAAAUGGCUAGAGAGGGUUCAGAUCUCAUCAUCCACUGCGGCAGCCUCAGUUUCUUGGUCGACAUUAUUCGGACAGGAAGAUGCAUUCACUACAACAUCCAAAAGUACAUCCAAGUUGAGCUCACCACGAAUAUAUCAGUGCUUAUGAUAAUAUUGGUUACUACAAUAUCUAUGGGACACUGCACAAUUGGGGCAUUUGAAGCACUGUGGGCAACUAUUUUUGUGACGGUAUGCGCGCUUGCGUUACUGCUUGAGCCGCCAACAGAAGAGUUGAUGGAAAAGACGCCGAUAAAACAAACUGAAUCUCUCAUUAGCAAGCAUAUGUGGAGAAACAUAUUACUUCAAGCUUUGUAUCAGGCUUCUAUAUCGGUUGCCUUACAGCUCAAAUGGAAAGCUCUCCCAGGCAUCAACGAGAAGACCAUGGAGUCCAUUGUUUUCAACAGUUAUGUUCUUUGUCAGGUAUUUAACCUAGUCAGUGCAAGGGAGCCAGAGAAGAAAAAUAUUUUCAGAGGUAUACUUCGAACUCCAUGGUUAUGGGUGGCUGUGGCCAUUAGUAUCCCCAUGCAGGUGACUUUUAUUGAGAUUGCACACAAGGCUGCUGGCAAUGCAAGGUUGGAUUGGGGACAAUGGGGCGUCUGUCUUCUAGUAGCGAUGGUUUCCUGGUUAAUCGAUUUGGCUGGCAAAUGUGUAUGGGGUGUCAUUGUGAAGAAUAGAAUUACAAUCGGCUCUGAUAUUGGAUCCACCAGUAUGAGUUCAGCUGCCGCCUCAAAAUCAGCUUCUAGUCGGGAGCUCCUAGCAAGCACUCAUGCACAUUGUUCCAAAUCCGGCCAGGAGAAUCUUAUUUUGUCAAAAUUAAUGAUUCGUUGUUGUAGCUAGCUAGCAAGAUAGUCUACUAGUAGUAAAAUUCAUGUUCAACUGGUCACUAAGGGCGUGUCCUGUAUAUUUUAAGAAAAUGGUUUCACAAUAUAAUUUUACAAAAUGAAAAUGAGAGAUUGAAUUGCAAGUUUUUUAAAAUCCUAAAAUGCAUCCGGCAGAAGUAUUGCAAAAACAAAAUCUGUAGUCUUCUUCUUUCCUCUUGUUAAAAUAAAAAAAAUAAAAAAAACAACCUUCUUUCCACAUAUAUUUCUUGUUGAACCAUGUGGAAAGAUCGACUGUUUUCCAUUGAAAUUAUUCGAGUUCGCAAGUAAAUUCUCUCUUGGUUAUAAAAAUGUUGAAAGAACAUAGCCAAACCCCCACUUUUGCUCAAGAGAUUGGAGAAGAGAUCAAAUAGCAUACAUCUGAAUAAUUAUUCUUCAAUCUCCUCGGUUCAAUUAGUCUGACUACCAAAGCUCCCAGACUACAACCAUCAUCGAUCUGAAGUUCUGAACCAGAUCUGAUCGACCACAUCCUGAUCAAAUCAAAACUUCGACCAAUCCUUUCUCCUCGUGAAACUUUAAUGAAAAAAAAAGUGGUCAUGAAGAGUGUUGCAUUGUAAUCUGCAGACUCAAAUACCCAAUGAAGAAGAUGAUGUAUAUGGUCAUCAAGAAAUGGAAUUCGACGGAGCUGCCUGGCCCCAAAGGGGUGGUGCGCCCAAUUUGAAGAACACAAGGAAUUAUUAAAAAAUAAUAAUAAUAAAAUAAAUCCUUUUGUUUUUUAUUUUUUGAAGAAGAAUUUACAAUAAAAAAAAGAAUAAAGGGUAAAUAAUCAUUUUACAACAAAAACAUGUUUUCCGUCGAUCUAUUUAACGGAGCUAACAGAUUCAAAUAUCAUUCUUCAUUGGACGUAAGAACGUGAGAUACCCUUCUCUAAUCACAGGAGUUUUUGUAAUUUCUUUCUUUUUAUUUUAAUUUAUUGGUCUUACUAUUUGAUCUAAUUACAUAAAGAUCAAACAGAGAACUAAUUAUGUAAGCUUGACAUGUGAACUAAUUAUAAUUGUUUAUGCAAUAAAAGUAACAUUAGCACGACGUACCAGGGAAUUAAAGAAGAAGAUAAAAGCUUUAGCUCGAGCAAUAAAACUUAAACAAUCAAUAACUAUGAGGAUGUACCAAAUAUAUAAGCCAUAAUUAACAAGUUAUAUUAGAUAAAUGAGGAACGGUGAUCAAUAAAGAUAUAUUAAGGAGAUGGUAAAAGUGUUCUCUAUAUAUUCACAGUUGAUCUUACAUGUUCAAAAUCUUCCUUCCACAUUGACAGAAACUAUACCUAUAUUUAUAUGCAUUGAUGCCCCCGUAUAAUGAUCAGCUCGAUCGCCGGCCUCGACCGCAGUUUGGAGCCAUGGCCGGGCAAGGAGACAAAGAUUAGAGAUGAGUACCUGUACUUCCAUAUACUUCCCUGGCUAAGAGUUGAGGAGCUUGCAGAGAAUAGAUUGAGGUGCCCAUCGAGCAACAGGAAGAACAGCAAACACAGAUUACCAGCAACAAGCUAGCCAUAUGGUUUCCUUACAUUUCUGGCUCCUGCUCUGUUGAUUUUGUUGUGCUAUUUAUACUAAAC